AAUGUGAUAAACUACCCUUCAGUUCUAACAUAAAAGAAAUAAUUUCUGGGGUCUUUGUAUUCACAUGAUGUAAUAUGAGCUUAUUUCCAUCUGAAAUAACUACCUUAGAGAGAGGAGCAUAACCUUGAUGAUUUAUUUAUUGGAGCUUCUUUUACAUAAAACAAUUCUAUUUUUUAUAACCCCUUUUCUCUCCCCACUCAGGUUUGGAGAGCCCAUUUAUUUCCCAUACAUGUUUACUUUUGAAAAGAUGGCCAUAGGUUUGUGCAUAUAAAUCCGUAGAGAUAACCUCUUCCACAUAAUUUAUAUAUAAGUAUUCCUGACCACUUUAUGCUUACUUAUUCUGUUUCUACCCUACAUGAAAACAAACCAAACUGAGAUAAAAAGCAAGCUAAAGAAGUAGAAACAAAUGGAUGAGGACUCUGGUCAACAUGCAAAUGUACCUGAGGUGUCCUCCAUCACUGAUUGGAAAAAUAAGAUGAGGAAAAGCUGUUGCCAUAUUCUGUGCCAACAGACAAGUGUAUCCUACCUGGGAAAAGAAGCCAGACAGGAUUGCCAUGGGAUAUAAAAAAAGCUCAAAGUGUCUGGGAUUAAGUCCUGUUUAUAAACAUAGACAGAAAUCAUGUCAGAAGAACAAGGAUUCACCGCAACAUCAAGGCCCAUGACAUGGCAGCACUGAUGGAGGUCCCAGCCUCAGAAGGGAUGAGGAUAAACCUUGAGUGGUCACAAAUGGGAAUUCAUCACUGGGCACCCUGUACUCAUCCUCUUUGAAAGAGGAGACCGUUGAAGAAUGUUUUCUGUAGGCUAACUACAGCAGUACACCAAUUUUCUUAACCUCACUCACGUUGUCAGCACAGAUAAACUCUUUACAGGAAAUGUAAGAACUGAGGAAGUGGUUCAAGAGAGACAAAGAUGGUACAAUCCACACA